GACGAACGCUGGCGGCGUGCUUAACACAUGCAAGUCGAACGGAAAGGCCCUGCCUUUGUGGGGUUCUCGAGUGGCGAACGGGUGAGUAACACGUGAGUAACCUGCCCUUGACUUUGGGAUAACUUCAGGAAACUGGGGCUAAUACCGGAUAGGAGCUCCUGCUGCAUGGUGGGGGUUGGAAAGUUUCGGCGGUUGGGGAUGGACUCGCGGCUUAUCAGCUUGUUGGUGGGGUAGUGGCUUACCAAGGCUUUGACGGGUAGCCGGCCUGAGAGGGUGACCGGCCACAUUGGGACUGAGAUACGGCCCAGACUCCUACGGGAGGCAGCAGUGGGGAAUAUUGCACAAUGGGCGGAAGCCUGAUGCAGCAACGCCGCGUGCGGGAUGACGGCCUUCGGGUUGUAAACCGCUUUCGCCUGUGACGAAGCGUGAGUGACGGUAAUGGGUAAAGAAGCACCGGCUAACUACGUG
rnacentral:rRNA from 1 species